rnacentral:snRNA from 1 species
GGAUGCGAGGGCGAUCUGGCUGCAACAUCUGCCACCCCAACGAUCACCAGGGUUGAUUUGGCUGAUCUGGCUGGCUAGGCGGGUAUACACCUCCUUCCUCAUCAAUCCAUGUGCCCAGUACCAUUGUCUAGACUAUUGUAGACUUCUGAUGGAUGCCUUUUAUCAGGUUGAAGAAGUUCCCCUAUAUUCCUAACUUGUGUGUUUUUAUGAUAAAAGAGUAUAGGAUUUUGUCAAAUGGUUUUUCUAUGUCUAUUAAGAUUAUGUUUUUGUUUUUUAUU